GAUGAACGCUGGCGGCGUGCCUAAUACAUGCAAGUCGAGCGAACUGAUUAGAAGCUUGCUUCUAUGACGUUAGCGGCGGACGGGUGAGUAACACGUGGGCAACCUGCCUGUAAGACUGGGCUCUCUCCGGGAAACCGAAGAAAAUACCAAAUAAGAUCUUUUCCUUCAUGGGAGAUGAUUGAAAGAUGGUUUCGGCUAUCUUUUACAUAUGGGCCCGCGGCACAAAAUCUAAUUAGUAAUAUAACGUCUCACCAAGGCAACGAUGCAUAGCCGACCUGAGAGGGUGAUCGCCCACUCUGGGACUGAGACACGCCCCAGACUCCUACGGGAGGCAGCAGUAGGGAAUCUUCCGCAAUGGACGAAAGUCUGACGGAGCAACGCCGCGUGAGUGAUGAAGGCUUUCGGGUCGUAAAACUCUGUUGUUAGGGAAGAACAAGUACAAGAGUAACUGCUUGUACCUUGACGGUACCUAACCAGAAAGCCACGGCUAACUACGUGCCAGCAGCCGCGGUAAUACGUAGGUGGCAAGCGUUAUCCAGAAAUUAUUGCGCGUAAAAGCGCGCGCAGGCGGUUUCUUAAGUCUGAUGUGAAAAGCCCACGGCUCCACGUGGGAGGGUCAUUGGAAAACUGGGAAACUUGAGUGCAAGAAGAGAAAAAGCAGAAUUCCACGUGUAGCGGAAAAAAUGCAUAGAAGAUGUGGAAGGAACACCAGUGGCGAAGGCGCUUUUUGGUCUUAACUGACGCUGAGGCGAAAGCGGGGGGAACAAAACAAGUUUAAGAUCCCCUGGUACUCCCCGCCGUAAACGAUGAGUGCUAAGUGUUAGAGGGUUUCCGCCCUUUAGUGCUGCAGCUAACGCAUUAAGCACUCCGCCUGGGGAGUACGGUCGCAAGACUGAAACUCAAAGGAAUUGACGGGGGCCCGCACAAGCGGUGGAGCAUGUGGUUUAAUUCGAAGCAACGCGAAGAACCUUACCAGGUCUUGACAUCCUCUGACAACUCUAGAGAUAGAGCGUUCCCCUUCGGGGGACAGAGUGACAGGUGGUGCAUGGUUGUCGUCAGCUCGUGUCGUGAGAUGUUGGGUUAAGUCCCGCAACGAGCGCAACCCUUGAUCUUAGUUGCCAGCAUUUAGUUGGGCACUCUAAGGUGACUGCCGGUGACAAACCGGAGGAAGGUGGGGAUGACGUCAAAUCAUCAUGCCCCUUAUGACCUGGGCUACACACGUGCUACAAUGGAUGGUACAAAGGGCUGCAAGACCGCGAGGUCAAGCCAAUCCCAUAAAACCAUUCUCAGUUCGGAUUGUAGGCUGCAACUCGCCUACAUGAAGCUGGAAUCGCUAGUAAUCGCGGAUCAGCAUGCCGCGGUGAAUACGUUCCCGGGCCUUGUACACACCGCCCGUCACACCACGAGAGUUUGUAACACCCGAAGUCGGUGGAGUAACCGUAAGGAGCUAGCCGCCUAAGGUGGGACAGAUGAUUGGGGUGAAG
rnacentral:rRNA from 1 species